GGGGGGGGGGGGGGGGGGGGGGAGGGGGUGGGGGUCGGAGGUGGUCUGCGGGGUUAGGGGCGGACGGGUGAGUAACGCUGGGUGACGUGCCUUUAGGUUCGGAAUGACUCAGGGCACCUUGUGCUAAUAGCGACUGUUCCUGUCGGGUGAAAGAGUUAUCGCCUUUAGAGCGUCCCGCGUCUGAUUAGCUAGUUGGUGAGGUAAAGGCUCACUAAGGCGACGAUCAGUAGCUGGUCUGAGAGGAUGAUCAGCUACAUUGGGACUGAGACACGGCCCAAACUCCUACGGGAGGCAGCAGUGGGGAAUAUUGCGCAAUGGGCGAAAGCCUGACGCAGCCAUGCCGCGUGAAUGAUGAAGGUCUUAGGAUUGUAAAAUUCUUUCACCGGGGACGAUAAUGACGGUACCCGGAGAAGAAGCCCCGGCUAACUUCGUG
rnacentral:rRNA from 1 species